CAGGGAUUGCCCCAGUAACGGCGAGUGAAGCGGCAACAGCUCAGAUUUGAAAUCUGGCCCUUUCGGGGUCCGAGUUGUAAUCUGUAGAGGAUGCUUUUGGCGACGCGCCUUCCGAGUCCCCUGGAACGGGGCGCCAGAGAGGGUGAGAGCCCCGUAUGGUUGGACGCCGAACCUCUGUAAAGCUCCUUCGACGAGUCGAGUAGUUUGGGAAUGCUGCUCAAAAUGGGAGGUAAAUUUCUUCUAAAGCUAAAUACCGGCCAGAGACCGAUAGCGCACAAGUAGAGUGAUCGAAAGAUGAAAAGCACUUUGAAAAGAGGGUCAAAUAGCACGUGAAAUUGCUGAAAGGGAAGCGCUUGUGACCAGACUUGCGCCCGGUUGAUCAUCCAGCGUUCUCGCUGGUGCACUCUGCCGGGCUCAGGCCAGCAUCGGCUCUCCCAGGGGGAUAAAGGUCGCGGGAACGUAGCUCUCUCCGGGGAGUGUUAUAGCCCGUGGCGGAAUGCCCUUAGGGGGGGCCGAGGCCCGCGUUCGCAAGGAUGCUGGCGUAAUGGUCACCAGCGACCCGUCUUGAAACACGGACCAAGGAGUCAAGCAUUAGGGCGAGUCUUUGGGUGCAAAACCCGCAGGCGCAAUGAAAGUGAACGGAGGUGAGAGCUUCGGCGCAUCAUCGACCGAUCCUGAUGUUCUCGGAUGGAUUUGAGUAAGAGCCUUACCGCUUGGACCCGAAAGAUGGUGAACUAUGCCUGAAUAGGGUGAAGCCAGAGGAAACUCUGGUGGAGGCUCGCAGCGGUUCUGACGUGCAAAUCGAUCGUCAAAUUUGGGCAUGGGGGCGAAAGACUAAUCGAACCAUCUA
rnacentral:rRNA from 1 species